AUGACAUCUUUGAAGAGUUGUAACAAUAACACAUCGAAGUCCUUGUGUUUAUUGUUUUCUAUUUUGCCUAGUUUUCUUGUAAUUUUUUACUUAAAUACUUGCAGUGUUGUUAAAUGGCAGUCAUGGGGCUGCCAUGGCGGGUUUUUUGAUUACCGCCACAGCCAAUUGGUGAAGGGAUGCCUGCCAUGGUGGCGCCAUAGACAGCAAUAG